rnacentral:tRNA from 1 species
GAGGGUAUAGCUCAAGCGGUAGAAUGCAUGCUUAGCAUCCAUGAGGUCCUGGGUUCAAUCCCCAGUACUUCCU